GUACCAGACUCCUACGGGAGGCAGCAGUGAGGAAUAUUGGUCAAUGGUCGGGAGACUGAACCAGCCAAGCCGCGUGAGGGAUGAAGGUACAGAGUAUCGUAAACCUCUUUUGUCAGGGAACAAAGGCGGGGACGCGUCCCCGGAUGAGUGUACCUGAAGAAAAAGCAUCGGCUAACUCCGUGCCAGCAGCCGCGGUAAUACGGAGGAUGCGAGCGUUAUCCGGAUUUAUUGGGUUUAAAGGGAGCGUAGGUGGAUUGUUAAGUCAGUUGUGAAAGUUUGCGGCUCAACCGUAAAAUUGCAGUUGAAACUGGCAGUCUUGAGUACAGUAGAGGUGGGCGGAAUUCGUGGUGUAGCGGUGAAAUGCAUAGAUAUCGCGCAGAACCCCGAUUGCGAAGGCAGCAUGCCGGCUUCCGACUGACGCUGAAGCACGAAAGCGUGGGGAUCGAACAGGAUUAGAUACCCUGGUA
rnacentral:rRNA from 1 species